GGUUAAGCUACUAAGAGCACACGGAGGAUGCCUAGGCACUAGGAGUCGAUGAAGGACGUGGCGAACAACGAAACUGCCUCGGGGAGCUGUAAGCAAGCUUUGAUCCGGGGGUGUCCGAAUGGGGAAACCCGGCUGUGGUAAUUCGCAGUCACUCACAUCUGAAUACAUAGGGUGUGUAGAGACAGACCAGGGGAACUGAAACAUCUAAGUACCCUGAGGAAGAGAAAACAAUAGUGAUUCCGUCAGUAGCGGCGAGCGAACGCGGAUUAGCCCAAACCAAGGAGCUUGCUCCUUGGGGUUGUGGGACGUCUCACAUGGAGUUACAAAGGAAUACAUUAGGUGAAGAGGUCUGGAAAGGCCCGGCAUAGAAGGUAAAAGCCCUGUAGCUGAAAGUGUAUUCCCUCCGAGACGGAUCCCGAGUAGUGCGGGGCACGUGAAACCCCGUAUGAAUCCAGCAGGACCAUCUGCUAAGGCUAAAUACUCCCUAGUGACCGAUAGUGAAACAGUACCGUGAGGGAAAGGUGAAAAGCACCCCGGAAGGGGAGUGAAAUAGAACCUGAAACCGUGUGCUUACAAAAAGUCAGAGCCUAUG
rfam:Paenibacillus pini JCM 16418 DNA, contig: contig00067.